UUUUUCCUUCCCAAAUCAAUAUCAUUUUUACUUUUAUUUUUUCAUAUAAUCUUUAUUAUUUUUAUUGUAAUGACUAAGUUUUUUUCAUCUGCUUUAUUUGUUUUUUUUAAUUAUUAUUUUUAAAAUUUUGACGUCACUUUUUAAUUAUCUUAGUAUUUUUUAUUUAUAAUAACUUUUUUUAGAUAUUAUUGUGUUUGAUUAUCUUUUUAAAUUGUAUAUUAUUAUCUUUAUGUUUUUA
rnacentral:lncRNA from 1 species